UACGUAGGGGGCAAGCGUUGUCCGGAAUCAUUGGGCGUAAAGCGCGUGUAGGCGGCCCGAUAAGUCCGCUGUGAAAGUCCAGGGCUCAACCCUGGAAUGCCGGUGGAUACUGUCGGGCUCGAGUCCGGAAGAGGCGAGUGGAAUUCCCGGUGUAGCGGUGGAAUGCGUAGAGAUCGGGAAGAACAUCGGUGGCGAAGGCGGCGCUCUGGGCCGGAACUGACGCUGAGGAGCGAAAGCGUGGGUAGCAAACAGG
rnacentral:rRNA from 1 species